GUCUAUGGCCAUAUCACUCUGACCUGUGAAGCUAAGCAGGGUCAGGCCAAGUCAGUACUUAAAUGAGAGACUACCUGGCAAUACCACGGGUAGUAGACU
ensembl:rRNA 5S_rRNA 5S ribosomal RNA